GGCGAGGUAGCUCAGUUGGUUAGAGCGUCGGAUUCAUAACCCGAUGGUCACGAUUUCAAAUCUCGUCCUCGCUA
rnacentral:tRNA from 1 species